CUGCAUCAUGAGGAACCAACCCACAGUUUUGGGGAGACUUGGUUUCCACUUCAACAAUCACCGUGAGGAGCACAGAAAAGUGUGAGGUUUAAAACCGCUGAUGCCUAACACCAAAACGUCCACAUGGACCUGCUCCAAAUCCACCAGAGUUCACCGACCAUUGUCAAUUGGCUGUCAGGCGCCACAGCGUAAAGGAUUUCAGUGAGACUAAAUGGGACCCAGAAACAAUACUACGGUGCUGGAUGCCACAGGACCCACCUGCUCUCACUCUCCAGGACCCUGCAGCAAACUGCACAAGGUUCAGCAGCUCCUGCCCUCAGAGACCAGAGAGCAAUGUUAACAUUUACACUAUCGAGCUGACACUGUCCUCGGAAGCACUGGCUUCAAAAACUCAGGGUGGCUCCCUCUGAAAAGGAACAGAAAGGUCUUUGGAUUCCAUCCACUGACAGUUGAGUUCUGCGUUGCCCCAGUUCACGGUCAACAGAUGGGACAUUACCUUCGAAGGGAAGCAGGAACCAGUCGGGGUUGAAUACUCAGGGUCGGAAUCCUCCUGGGAGGCAAGGCUAUAGUCAGAGAUUCAAUUACUGCCUCUGUGAGUUGGAAAUACAUCCAGAUG
rnacentral:lncRNA from 1 species